UAUAUAAUCCCUCCGUCCGGAAAUACUUGUCACCAAAAUGGAUAAAAGGGAUGUAUCUAGAUGUAUUUUAGUUUUAGAUACAUCCCUUUUUGUCCAUUUUGAUGACAAGUAUUUUCGGAUGGAGGGAGUAUAAU
rnacentral:pre_miRNA from 1 species